AUUUCCCUCUUUCUUCAUGCCUUACACAUGCAAGUCGAACGGUAACGGGCCUUCGGGUGCCGACGAGUGGCGAACGGGUGAGUAAUACAUCGGAACGUGCCCGAUCGUGGGGGAUAACGAGGCGAAAGCUUUGCUAAUACCGCAUACGAUCUACGGAUGAAAGCAGGGGACCGCAAGGCCUUGCGCGGACGGAGCGGCCGAUGGCAGAUUAGGUAGUUGGUGGGAUAAAAGCUUACCAAGCCGACGAUCUGUAGCUGGUCUGAGAGGAUGAUCAGCCACACUGGGACUGAGACACGGCCCAGACUCCUACGGGAGGCAGCAGUGGGGAAUUUUGGACAAUGGGCGCAAGCCUGAUCCAGCCAUGCCGCGUGCAGGAUGAAGGCCUUCGGGUUGUAAACUGCUUUUGUACGGAACGAAAAGCCUUCUUUUAAUACAGGAGGGUCAUGACGGUACCGUAAGAAUAAGCACCGGCUAACUACGUG
rnacentral:rRNA from 1 species